CCUCUGGUGCACCGGUUGUCACGCCAGUGGCAUAGCCGGGUAGCUAUGUGCGGAACGGAUAACCGCUGAAAGCAUCUAAGCGGGAAACCGUCCUCAAGAUAAUGUAUCCCUGAAGGCCACUCAUAGACUAUGAGUUUGAUAGGCGGGAUGUGGAAGCGCUGUAAGGCGUGGAGCUUACCCGUACUAAUCGGCCGUUCGACUUGACCAUUUUU
rnacentral:rRNA from 1 species